ensembl:lncRNA
GGAAUGAGAAGGUCCCACUGCAUCGCGUCUAGCCAGACUGCGGUCUGAAAGCCACGCAGAGAUAAGCGAAUCGGUGAAGACUCAGCCUCAAUAUGCACGCGAAGCUUGUUUUAUGUAUAUAUCUAUGCAUUUAUCUCGUAGAUGACAACCCAGCUGUAAAAUUACUGAUCUGCAGCUGCUACGAAGGAAUAUCACAGUUCUUUUUAACACUACAUAAAGGCCUGUUUUUUUUAUUUCAUCUAAGAAAUGUAUUACUUACGCAGUGUCGAGAGUUGGCUGGCUAGGGUGCCGUAAAUGUAUGGGGUUCGAUGACAGACACACACAAUACGAUGUACAUAUUUUUAAAUAAAUCUGCAUGUGACUUGGCUCUAGCUUGGAGGUUCUUUGCAUCGACUUGCAUUGCAAGUUUGUGUCUUCAGGAUGACAUUUUCUGCAUAACAUUUGUACUGUUACAAAAUAUUUCUAAAAGUUAUGACUGACUCGCAGCAUAUACAUUUUUUGACAAUUGUAUAAGGAAUUAUUUACAAUUUUGUUGCAUCAACAGAAAAUGUCCUAUGUCUUCAUCUACAUGCUGGUCCGCGCACUACACGCUGUUACUGCUGUUAAUUGGUCAUUAUGGCCCAUUAAGUAAUUAAAAUAAAAUGGAUAUGAAAUUCCCGCAGGAAAGUAUCAUGGGAAAUCAUAUAAAAGCAGGAUUUCGGCUGUUAACAUGAAUAAACACCACCGGCCGCGGAGCACUGGCUGUUUCGAGGUGAGUAACAGUGGACAGAGUAACGACGCAGUUGUACCUACAGAGCGGUGAAGAGUGACAGUCUGCAGUCGCCAGUAAUAAUAUUUCGCGCCAUGCUGAGCAGAACCGGCCAAUCGGGAGGCGCCUCGCCCGCUAAGCCCCGCCUUCUUCCUCCGGCCCGGGUGUCCGCUCCUCUGCGUGAGUUCAGCCGUUCGGAUAAACUUCUCCCGGAAAUAUUAUCUGUGAAAGAAAGCGUCACCUGCCGAGGGGCUCGAUUUCCUGAACUGCACCCCCUACAGGCGUAAUACGGGCAUUGCAGCAUUUAAGGUGGAACGGACAAGUCAAAAACGAAGCCAACUUCAGCGAACGUUUCCUGUCUGUGGAGUCCUAGCAAGCCAGGAGCUGUGACCAUUUUAUUUGAACGUUUUCAGAUGCUUCUAGAAGUCUCUACCGAUCGAGUACAACGGACACAUUCUCUUACCUCAUUUCCUGCUUUUCUUUCUUUUUUUUGACAUUGAACUCAUCCUGUUAUGUUGAAUUGCGGCACUUUCGAACACACAACUCCUGGUUUAAGAGACCACCGAGCUAUGAAGCCAUUACUCGGGGCGUCCCCAGUGGCUGGGUUACUCGUCAUUUGAAAUAAGAAUAAGAAAAAAAGUUCAGCGCAGCUCAUUUACUUUACUUUAAGCGACUUACAAGAGGAAGACACCAGCAAUUCCCAUUCGGUUUCUAUAGAUGUUGAGUUACAAAACUAAGAGCCCUGAUAAGGCCCAACUUGUCAGGAAUAGAACAUGCCGGGGAAUUGUUAAGUGCUAGACGAAUAUAUACAAAUAUUUUUGUGUGUGUGUGUGUUAGUGUUAGACUCGUCUGAAAUACUUUUUGAACAAGUGGGUUUUCAACUGCUUCUGAAAGGUGGUGGUAGUCUCGGCUAGUCGAAUGGAGGUUGUCCCACCAGCCAGGGACAACAAAGGAGAACAGAGUCGAUUGGGAUCGGAGACCCCGUGAAGAGCUCUGUGACCACCCCUGUCUACAAAUGUUAGCAGGCUGCUUUAGUAAAUACUUUAGUUCAGCAGUCAGCGCGUUCAUCUAACCAAUAUUUCAUUACAGCAAGAAAUACGGCUAAUUCAUAGCUAACUAACCACCUGGAUACCGGCAAAUAUUUCAGUAUACCGAGAAACUUCGAACAAUCUUUAUCAGUGUUCAAUUAACUACAAUUCUAACACAG